GCCUGCUUCAGCAGCGCAUUUACGGAAAUCAGAAUGAUAACAAAGAUUAGCAUGGCCCCUGCCUAAGAGGGACAUGUAAAUUCAUGAAGCAGUCCAUAUUUUU